GAGAGCGAACGAGCGAACAUCCUCCACUCCAUGCAUGUCCUAAAGCGCCGCUACGUUAGCGCUCACUGAGCCCGCGCGCUUUAGUACGUCGUUAAAUAGCUGCCCUGCCAAGUAGUCGUCCAGGACUGUAUUAUUAAUUGCCGUGUCUCUCCAGAUUCCUCGAAAGACGCUGUUCGAGCAUUUUCCGAGAAGACACGUUUCCGCUUCGCGCCAAAUUCUACGUUUCGACCAGGCACCGUUCUAUUCGCGCUAGCGUCACAAGUUCGAGGUAAAAGACGAGGAAAAGUUUCAAUGUGCCCGCAAAGAGUAGCGAGUGGCGUAGCAAAGUACUUGGCAUAAUCUCGCUUCAAGAUGGCUACGCCCUGACCAAGUUGCCUCAACUUUCAGGCGAUAGUGUACAUCGGCCGACGAUCGAUGCCGGAUGCCAUUUUCGAAUUCGAAUUCCGGCCGCGGACGCGCGCCAAUAUCGGAGAAACACGCUCGAACCUCCAAUUAUCCCAAGUACACCGGAGUCCUAGUCCCCGUAAGUUACAUUAUAUGCAAGAGUACGCAAAUAACUGCGAGGUGGGAUUUUAAAAGGGAGGCCAACGUGCGUUCGCCGAUGCGUAUAAAGGCGAUAUCUCACGCGCGAGCUCGAGCUCGAGCACCGGAAGCGUGUCUACGCUCUACGCGCGACUGUCCCUUCUCCCAUCCCCGUGCAGCGAAAUAGACUAUAAUGGAACAAAGUCGUGCGAUUUUGCUCGGGGAAAAAAAUAUGUAUUCCAUCAUUUAACAUCGAAAGAGAGUAAUCGAGCAAUCACGUGUGCAUUGUAACGUAAAGUUUGAUUACGGAAAGUUGUAUUACUUUGUAAAUUAAACGAUCCUAAAAAAAGUUUCUUUAAUGUAGCGCGCAUAGUUACUUCCCCCGCCCCGGCGCGGCGCAACGCAAUCUGACCCCGUUGUACGAUAUCGAAAAAAAGUUUUUCAUCUCGGGGAUUCCUGCAUUAUUCGUGCGCGCGACAGAGGAAGAGAUCGGCAGGCCUCUCAUCGGACCAUGUAAUUAAUACACAACUAUAUAUGUAUAGAUGAAGAACGUUGAAAUACGAAACGUGUCACGUGUUAGUAUUAUUUUUUUUUACAGCGUUUACCGUCAACGAUUGUAUUGGACCAAGUAAUGAAUUUCCAUCGGAAAAAAUAUCGGAAGUGACUGGAUGCAUCGCGUCGUGAAACGUUAACAUUGUUUUAUAUCUCGAGAUAAAUUCUUUGAAAUGUAAUGAAUGGAAAUUCACUAUCAAGGUACAAUUGUCGACGGAAAAGUUUGGAAAUCGAUGACUGAUGUGUAUCGCGACAAUUUCUUGCGCUUAACAGGAAACGUUAUCGCAUCCGUAUCGAACAAAGGGUCGCAAUAUAAAGAGCUGAUUAUAUUCUCAUUCUCACUCCCUGCUGAUCAUUUUCUGGUAAAGAUAUCUUUACGUCGUAAAAAGUAUCGUGAAAUUAUUUAAAAAAAUGACUGAUUGAAAGGAAAAACCCUGUAUCCCUGACUUUCGAUGAAAAGUUAGGAAUUGGCGACAUCCGUGCACAAAGCGCUUUCGUAUAGUACGACAGCUACGUUUUAAGUGAUUCGAGUCUUUAAUGAUAACAUAAAAAUUAAAACGUUUAACCGGAUAACCGAUGUAGCGAUACUCGUGGCAAUGUUAAUACAUUUUGUAUAUCUUGCAAUAUACUCCAAGAAUCUAGUACUCGAUCUUUUUGCUCCGUGGCUGAGGUCCCUCUCCGUUGUAUAUUAUAUUUUUGUAUUUCUUAUGAUAAUCUUUUCAAGAUAGGAAUUAGUCACUGUCGAGUUAUUAAUUGCGGCGAAAGAUAUCAAGACGUUGCUACGUUCGCACUGUCCUUGAAUGUAAGCGGACAUUAUACCGCGUAGCACUGAGAAGAAUGAGGUACUCUUCAACGACCCAUUUUCUACAAAUGUAAACAACAUCUGUAACUUUUGAAAAGUUUAGAGAAAUCUUGUUCAUAAGUACUUUCUUACUAUUUUUUAAGAGUUAAUUUGUAUACCUAUUUCAAUCCACCAAAAGGUGCUCCACUGUAUUAUCGGAGACAAAGAUUAAAACUGGGGCGUGUAUAUGUUUUUGUAAUGCUUGGCCAUUGCUAUCCGCUAUCGAACAUUUCACGCGAGUAAGUUCGGUCGGCAACUCCGCCUUGUGUACCGAAUGGCAGAGAGUUAACUUGAACAGCAAACACGAUAAUAACU